rnacentral:rRNA from 1 species
UACGUAGGUGGCAAGCGUUGUCCGGAUUCACUGGGCGUAAAGCGCGCGCAGGCGGUCUUCUACGCCUGGGGUGAAAACCCGGGGCUCAACCCCGGGACUGCCUUGGAUACGGGGAGACUUGAGGAUCGGAGAGGCAAGGGGAAUUCCACGUGUAGCGGUGAAAUGCGUAGAGAUGUGGAGGAACACCUGUGGCGAAGGCGCCUUGCUGGCCGAUUUCUGACGCUGAGGCGCGAAAGCGUGGGGAGCAAACAGG